rnacentral:lncRNA from 1 species
CUCGCGCAUAGGCGCCGACGGAGAAUGGGGGGUGGUGGCGCGAGGGGCGUUUGACAAUGAUAGCGGUGGAGAAGGUGGAGGAGGAAGAAGGAGGAGGACGACGAGAAAGCAGAGGGGAAGAAGGAGGAGAAAGAAGAAGAGAAUGAGAAAUGGUAUAAAUUCCACCCAAAUAGUGUAACUUUCGCCUAAAAAGUGUAACUCUCAUCCCAAAUAGUGUAGUUUCUGUCUCAAAGAGUGUAACUUUUAUUUCGUGAAAUUAUAGUCCCCUAUGAUUUUCUAUCCCUCAACUUGGGUUUUAAAGGGUUAAACAAUUUUUAUAACCC